AGUAAUUUGUUUGCAAGAUGCUGAAAUCUUGUUUGUUUUUCAGGGUAUUCCAGGCAGCAUUGGUCCACCUGGGAUCGCUGGACAGAGAGGAGAGAAGGGAGAUGCUGGUAAAGAUGGUCCCUCUGGACCCCCUGGUCCAACCGGUGAGCCUGGUUUAAGAGGAGAAAUCGGUUUGCCAGGAAAAGGCAAAGAGGGACCAAAGGGUGAUUCUGGAGCUCCAGGUGCACCCGGACCCCCCGGACUGAAGGGUUUGCCUGGUCUGCAAGGAAUGCUAGGGAUGCCAGGAAACAGAGGACCACCGGGAGAAGGAACCACUGGACCCGAGGGACCUCCCGGACCUGCAGGGCCACCAGGACCAGCGGGUUUGAGAGGACCUUCAGGAGUGAGCGGACCACAGGG
rnacentral:lncRNA from 1 species